UAAGACAUCUUAUGUAAAAUCCACAUAAA
rnacentral:piRNA from 1 species